AGAGCAGAAGAGCUUCCAGGUAGACAAGGUGUCUGGGACUCUAAUUAGGCAGCACUCACACACCCAGAGCAUGGACACUGCCCAAGGUGGAGUGUGACCAACCAGAUGCAGCCAAGUCAUCUCUAGUCGCAGGCCAUGAGGUGCAGGUCCUUAAAAGGAGAAGGGGCCAUGUGCUCAGGAGUCACUCACAAGCUUGUACCUCCAGUGAAUGCCCUUUGCCGGGAUUGCCUGGCCAGUGGU